CAGAAUUCUGACAUCUUCUAAUUAAAGAACCAAGACAGGCAUGACUUGACCCUCCGUUUGACAUCCUCAAAUUUAAAGCAAUUCAUUUCUCCCUCCCACGCUCAUGCUAAUUUUCACCAGGAGAAAUGAUUUUUGACAGGUUUAGAAAGUCAGGUUAAGUUCAUAUAAGGAAAAAUGUGUAAAAUAGUCUUCUGAACUGAGAUUUUCCUGUAACUGUAGGAAUGGUGGAUGCUGCCAGAGAAUAGUGUACAGUCAGGGCAUGGGAUGAGAGCCAGAAAUGUGUGUGUCACCCUACUCUCUCCCAUCCUGCUAGAUUUACAAGUGCUUGUGGUACUGGGCAGGAGGGUGGGGAGUAUUGCUGAGACGUGGACUCUACUCCUAUGAAACUGAAGUAAGAAUAUACUUCAAUAUAGAUUUGUACUUGUAAUGGCUUGUAUCUUGGCUCUUCAAACAAUAUUGAGGCCUUCUCGUAACCUACAGAAUCUGUGUAUCUUCUUUUAAAAAAUGCCUUUGCAAAUGAAACUCAUUUAGAGAACUUGAGAUAACCAUUCCGUUAUUUAGGUGGGCUUUACACAUAAUGUAAAGAUACCUCACAAGUAUCUCUGUAAGAGGUGGACUAGAGCAGAGAUGAGUACCUAGAGUCACAGCAAGCAUUGAAAGCACUGUACAAAGCUCAAGUCCAAGUGGAUCAAGGACCUCCACAUAAAACCAGAUACACGGAAUCAAAUAGAAGAGAAAGUGGGGAACAGCCUCAUAUACAUUGACAAAGAGAAAAAUCUGAAGAAACCACCAAUGGCUCGUGCUCUAAGAUCAACAGUUGACAAAUGGAACCUAAUAAAACUGCAAAGCUUCUGUAAGGCAAAGGCACUGUCAAUAGGACAAAAACCACAUCCCACAGAUGUUGGGGAAACAUCUUUACCAACUCUACAUCUAAUAGAAGAAUAAUAUGCUGUUGGGCCCUAUUUGGCCCUGGUUUGGGUCUUGAGGACAAACCCCAGCCUGGCUUGAGUUUUGAAAACUGUCUCAGUCACUUCCGUACUGGAGUGACUCAGCAUGACCUGCUUAAGCCUGUCUCUGCUUAGCUACUGCUAACAUAGAGUAACUUUGUUGGCUCUAUCAGUCACCCCAUACCCUUCCUCGUCCUUCCUCUUCCCCUAUGUCAUCUCACCUUAGCAAAAAAAUUCCCACCUCCUCUCUCAGCCCUCUAUAAACAAAAGACUGAUACAAUUAAGUUCCUGCUUUGACAGACUUCUGGCUCAGGGUGGUUAUUCUCCAGUCUGCAGGAGAUCUGAGCUGUGACAUUCACCAUCCUGUUUCAGCCCUGGAGAGACUUGGCUGGACCAAGUUCUCUCCUCUCAGCCUAGAGCUGCUGGCCAAGAGCAGGCAAUAUGCAAAAUAUACAAAGAACUCAAGAAGCUAAACUUCAGAGAACCAAAUAACCCUAUUAAAACUGGGGUACAGAGUUAAACAGAGAAUUCUCAACUGAGGAAUCUCAAAUGGCUGAGAAGCACUUAAGGAAAGAAAUGUUUAAAAUAUUUAGUCAUCAGGGAAAUGCAAAUAAAAAUGACCCUGAGAUUCCAUAUCACACCAAUUAGAAUGGCUAAGAUAAAAAGUGCAGGUGAGAGCAGAUGCUAGUGCCGAUGUAUAAAAAAGAGGAGGCAUUUCCUUCAAAGGAGAUGUUGUUCUGCUGAUUCCAUGGUGUCAGGCUUCGGGUUUCUUGUGGCUUGAAAACAUGAGCUAUGGUUUAAGCCAGUAAGUUUCUCUCAGUGACCACAAUGAAGAAACAUGGUAUUGCAUGCAUAUGUGAAAUAUGAAUGAUAUACAGCAUGCAAUGGGUUUAUGAAAGUUUUGUCAUGUCAAAUUAGACAGUAUGGGAGACUACAUGAACCACUACAUAGACAAGAGUUUGCUAUGGAGUUGUUUCUUUCUUGCCUAACAUUCCAUGCUAUAGCUUUUGUUUUAGCUAUAACAGAGAGUCUAAGUGGAUAAAGUCUUCCCAAUAUGACUGCCCAAAGGACAGAACAACAACAUUGUAUGGACACAAGUUGUAUUUAGGAACACACAAACACACACAGACAUACACACAGACAUACACACACAGACACACACACAUAAACACACACACAUACGAAUGUGUGUUUAUAUACAUGUAAACAUAUGAACAAAUAUACAUAUGUGCUAAUGAGAAAUGAGAUCAUAUGAAGAAGAGAAGACAGGUAUAUUCAGGAGGGUUUGUAGAAAGGAAAUGCAAGAGGAAGAUGUUGUAAUUAAAAUUCUGUCUCAAAAAAUAAACAACAACAGAAGAUUUCACUUGACAGCCAAGAGGAGUGGAAAAGAAAAGUGAAAAAUGUUCCUAAAAGCAUAAACAUACUAAGAGCAUUGUAUUCUGGUUCCACUCUCUCUAUGCGUUUACUCUCACUUGUUCAUGAUGCUUUAACAUACUGAAAUGUGCAAAAGUACCGAGGGACUAUUGGGACAGCUGGACUUCUGCUCACAGCUCUAUAAAUUGCUUGCUUUUCAAUUUAUACAGGCUCAGGAAGUUCUGAAGUAAAACAAAGAAAAAUAUAGUGCAAAAGAAAUAUAAAAAUAGAGCCGGGCGUGGUGGCACACGCCUUUAAUUCCAGCACUCAGGAGGCAGAGGCAGGUGGAUUUCUGAGUUCGAGGCCAGCCUGGUCUACAAAGUGAGUUUCAGGACAGCCAGGACUAUACAGAGAAACCUGUCUUG
rnacentral:lncRNA from 1 species